rnacentral:tRNA from 1 species
GCGCCUGUAGCUCACAUGGACAGAGCACCUGCCUUCUAAGCAGGUCGUAGCAGGUUCGAUUCCUGCCAGGCGCACCA